ACGAACGCUGGCGGCGUGCCUAAUACAUGCAAGUCGAGCGGAAUGAUGAAGAAGCUUGCUUCUUCUGAUUUUAGCGGCGGACGGGUGAGUAACACGUGGGCAACCUACCUUGUAGAUUGGGAUAACUCCGGGAAACCGGGGCUAAUACCGAAUAAUCCAUUUUGCUUCAUGGCGAGAUGUUAAAAGGCGGCUUCGGCUGUCACUACGAGAUGGGCCCGCGGCGCAUUAGCUAGUUGGUAGGGUAAUGGCCUACCAAGGCGACGAUGCGUAGCCGACCUGAGAGGGUGAUCAGCCACACUGGAACUGAGACACGGUCCAGACUCCUGCGGGAGGCAGCAGUCGGGAAUCUUCCACAAUGGACGAAAGUCUGAUGGAGCAACGCCGCGUGAGUGAAGAAGGUUUUCGGAUCGUAAAACUCUGUUGUAAGGGAAGAACACGUACGAGAGUAACUGCUCGUACCUUGACGGUACCUUAUUAGAAAGCCACGGCUAACUACGUG
rnacentral:rRNA from 1 species